rnacentral:rRNA from 1 species
UACGUAGGGGGCGAGCGUUGUCCGGAGUUACUGGGCGUAAAGGGCAUGCAGGCGGUCAGGCGCGUUUCGGGUGACAGCGGGUGGCUUAACUACCCGAGUGUUCGAAAGACGGCGUGACUUGAGAGCGAGAGAGGGACACGGAAUUCCGGGUGGAGUGGUGAAAUGCGUAGAGAUCCGGAGGAACACCGAAGGCGAAGGCAGUGUCCUGGCUCGCGACUGACGCUGAGGUGCGAAAGCUAGGGGAGCGAACGG